CGGGCGUUAAGUUGCAGGGUAUAGACCCGAAACCCGGUGAUCUAGCCAUGGGCAGGUUGAAGGUUGGGUAACACUAACUGGAGGACCGAACCGACUAAUGUUGAAAAAUUAGCGGAUGACCUGUGGCUGGGGGUGAAAGGCCAAUCAAACCGGGAGAUAGCUGGUUCUCCCCGAAAGCUAUUUAGGUAGCGCCUCGUGAAUUCAUCUCCGGGGGUAGAGCACUGUUUCGGCUAGGGGGCCAUCCCGGCUUACCAACCCGAUGCAAACUGCGAAUACCGGAGAAUGUUAUCACGGGAGACACACGGCGGGUGCUAACGUCCGUCGUGAAGAGGGAAACAACCCAGACCGCCAGCUAAGGUCCCAAAGUCAUGGUUAAGUGGGAAACGAUGUGGGAAGGCCCAGACAGCCAGGAUGUUGGCUUAGAAGCAGCCAUCAUUUAAAGAAAGCGUAAUAGCUCACUGGUCGAGUCGGCCUGCGCGGAAGAUGUAACGGGGCUAAACCAUGCACCGAAGCUGCGGCAGCGACACUGUGUGUUGUUGGGUAGGGGAGCGUUCUGUAAGCCUGUGAAGGUGUGUCGUGAGGCAUGCUGGAGGUAUCAGAAGUGCGAAUGCUGACAUAAGUAACGAUAAAGCGGGUGAAAAGCCCGCUCGCCGGAAGACCAAGGGUUCCUGUCCAACGUUAAUCGGGGCAGGGUGAGUCGACCCCUAAGGCGAGGCCGAAAGGCGUAGUCGAUGGGAAACGGGUUAAUAUUCCCGUACUUGGUGUUACUGCGAAGGGGGGACGGAGAAGGCUAUGUUGGCCGGGCGACGGUUGUCCCGGUUUAAGCGUGUAGGUGUGUGUUCCAGGUAAAUCCGGUUCACUUUAACACUGAGGCGUGACGACGAGGCACUACGGUGCUGAAGCAACAAAUGCCCUGCUUCCAGGAAAAGCCUCUAAGCAUCAGGUAACAUCAAAUCGUACCCCAAACCGACACAGGUGGUCAGGUAGAGAAUACCAAGGCGCUUGAGAGAACUCGGGUGAAGGAACUAGGCAAAAUGGUGCCGUAACUUCGGGAGAAGGCACGCUGACACGUAGGUGAAGUGAUUUACUCAUGGAGCUGAAGUCAGUCGAAGAUACCAGCUGGCUGCAACUGUUUAUUAAAAACACAGCACUGUGCAAACACGAAAGUGGACGUAUACGGUGUGACGCCUGCCCGGUGCCGGAAGGUUAAUUGAUGGGGUCAGCGCAAGCGAAGCUCCUGAUCGAAGCCCCGGUAAACGGCGGCCGUAACUAUAACGGUCCUAAGGUAGCGAAAUUCCUUGUCGGGUAAGUUCCGACCUGCACGAAUGGCGUAAUGAUGGCCAGGCUGUCUCCACCCGAGACUCAGUGAAAUUGAACUCGCUGUGAAGAUGCAGUGUACCCGCGGCAAGACGGAAAGACCCCGUGAACCUUUACUAUAGCUUGACACUGAACAUUGAGCCUUGAUGUGUAGGAUAGGUGGGAGGCUUUGAAGUGUGGACGCCAGUCUGCAUGGAGCCGACCUUGAAAUACCACCCUUUAAUGUUUGAUGUUCUAACGUGGACCCGUUACCCGGGUUGCGGACAGUGUCUGGUGGGUAGUUUGACUGGGGCGGUCUCCUCCUAAAGAGUAACGGAGGAGCACGAAGGUUGGCUAAUCCUGGUCGGACAUCAGGAGGUUAGUGCAAUGGCAUAAGCCAGCUUGACUGCGAGCGUGACGGCGCGAGCAGGUGCGAAAGCAGGUCAUAGUGAUCCGGUGGUUCUGAAUGGAAGGGCCAUCGCUCAACGGAUAAAAGGUACUCCGGGGAUAACAGGCUGAUACCGCCCAAGAGUUCAUAUCGACGGCGGUGUUUGGCACCUCGAUGUCGGCUCAUCACAUCCUGGGGCUGAAGUAGGUCCCAAGGGUAUGGCUGUUCGCCAUUUAAAGUGGUACGCGAGCUGGGUUUAGAACGUCGUGAGACAGUUCGGUCCCUAUCUGCCGUGGGCGCUGGAGAACUGAGGGGGGCUGCUCCUAGUACGAGAGGACCGGAGUGGACGCAUCACUGGUGUUCGGGUUGUCAUGCCAAUGGCACUGCCCGGUAGCUAAAUGCGGAAGAGAUAAGUGCUGAAAGCAUCUAAGCACGAAACUUGCCCCGAGAUGAGUUCUCCCUGAGACUUA
rnacentral:rRNA from 1 species